GCUGCGAAUGAGCGUAGCGAAUAACCUGCCGCAGGCAGAAUAUUGCGAAGCAAUACCAUGAGCGAAGCGAAUAAUAAUGCGAAGCAUUACCUGCCGAAGGCAGAAUAGCCGAAGGCUACCUAAUAGCGAAGCUAUUGUCAAAAAGCUUGAAACCUCAUGCAGCUAACAGCUGCACAAUCUAAUUCACUUGGGAUUAUUGAUUCUUCAAACCAUUCAACACACACCAUGAGCGAAGGGAAUAAUAGAGCGAAGCUCUACCCUGCCGCAGGCAGAAUAUUGCGAAGCAAUACCAUGAGCGAAGCGAAUAACAGAACGAAGUUCUGCCUGGCUUUAGCCAGAACAAUGCGAAGCAUUGAAAUAAAAAGAAAAUGUUAAACAGAAUGCAUCUUAUCACAAUCUACUCAACCACAACAGGAAUCGAGUUUCAUUAACUGUUUAUCAAUUUCAAUGAAAGUAAUUUUGGUUGGCUGUAACGUUACAAGCACAUAACAGAACACAGUUGGUUAUCGAUUAUGGACAUUCAUUAAAUGGUGUAAUGUUAAGUCGAGAUAUGGCUUCAUCACAUAAACUCUGGUUGUAAUUAAAUGGAUGUUAAGAGUUGUAAAGGUAAAAUGGAUCUACAAUUGGUUAGCCUAAUCAUUUAUGGCUGGUUGGUUGUGAGACAAAAAGGUGAUGAAACUAUAACGUGGUUAUUAUUCGUCAUUUGCAAUUCAGUUAAGAUGGGUAUUCACUUGUGUUACAAAUGGGACAAGCCCAAAUAAAUGGUUAAAGUUGAAAAAUAUGUACGCAUAUUGAGUAUUAAAUCAAAUUAUCUAAUAGAAGCUGUUAUAUCAGCUCAAAAGUUGGAUUAAUAGCAUCCAUCUUCUCAAAAGUGUGUAGUAUCUUAUGAGCUAAAUUAUCUAUGUAUGUAUUUCCCAAAUAAAAAUAUUGCUGAAGCUCUAAUAGUUAAGAUAGAAUAUUAUCCACUAUCGAGGUGGUGUAAAAAUGGCAAUUUAAGUAAUUUUAAUUCGUGUUAACCUAAUAGUAUAUCCAAUACUUUGUUAUCGCUGUCACACACAUUGCAUUAGAUUCAAUUCCUCAAGCAAGAUCCUUUUUGUUAUAGCUGAAGGUUUUUAUCUUCUCAAUAAAACCUAUCCUUAAUGUACUGUAAAAUCUUAGAUUGGACAUUCACAAAAUAGUGUCAGGGUUGUACACAUCUGCUCACAGGUUGGUGGUUUAUUAACAUCGGGGGUUCAUAAUAAAGAAGCGUAAAGAAUUUGGCAAGUAACUCGUCUAACUUAGGGAUAACAAUAAUAUUUAUCAAGCGACUGUAUAGCAAAUACACAAGGUUUAGUUAAAGAUGUCUAUAUUUUAGAACUGAUAUGUGACCAGUAUUUAUAAGCUCAAGGAAGCUUUGACAAACGUUGGCUGUAACUAUAACGGUCCCAAGGUAGCAAAUUUCCUUGUCGUCCAAAUAACGACCUGCAUGAAAGAUAGAACGAUUCGAUAGCUGUCUUGCAUACAUGUGCUGGUAAAAUAUUAGGUAGUGUGAAGAUACGGUAACAACGUUAUAGGACAAAAAGACCCUGUGAAGCUUUAUAGGGAUAAAAUUUAGUACAGGUUCUAUAUUAAUAUAUCUUCAUUUCAUGGAAAAACAGUGAGAUACCAUUCAUUGAGAAUACAAGAAGUUGCUUGCAAUAAGAUAAUUCACCAAUGAGUGAAAGAGUAAUGUUAGAUGGGCUGUUUAAUUGGGGCGAUAACCUUCUUUAAUCAAACCAAAGGUGAACAAAGCUAUUGCAGCAGAGCUUUGAUAAAGGACUAGUAAGUACAAAGAUAGAUGUGUAGCUUAAUGGUCAAGCGUUUGAUCCAGUAUUUAAAUGGUAUCUUAAUGACCUUAAAAUUAAUCUACCAAAUAAAAGCUACUCAAGGGAUAACAGGCUUAAUAUAUUGGAUAGCUCACAUUAUCAUUAACGUUUUGCACCUCGAUGUCGGCUUAUCUUUUCCAAAAGGCUAAUUCCAAAAGAAUUAAAGAUGAAAUAUUCAUUUAGCUAAUGUAUUAACACAUGCAUAUAUUAUACGUAUUAUUAUUUAUUAAUUUUACGAAGAGUUUAUUCAUUCAUACAUUAGUGCAAGAGUAUUAUUUUGCAUAGCUUUUGGCUUUGUCUUUAUUAGGUCAACGCAAUAAGCUUAUUGGUGGGAGUGCUCAUCCCAUAACAAGGUACGUGAGCUGGGUUCAAAACGAUGUAAAUCAGUUUGGUCUAUAUCUGUAACUUUAAUUAAUGUCAAAAUGGUAGUGUUGUUUGCUCAGUACGCAAGGACCAGCAACAAAUUGCUAAAGCUGAAUUUUGUGAUAUAGUGGUAUCACUGUUUCUAGAUAAGUGAUUAUUAGACAUUUUUGCCACCUGUGCUAAUAACGAUUCGGUAGCGUGACCAACCUGCGAU
rnacentral:rRNA from 1 species